rnacentral:rRNA from 1 species
CGUCAAGUCCUCAUGGCCUUUAUGCCCAGGGCUACACACGUGCUACAAUGGGCGGUACAAAGAGAAAGCAACCUCGCGAGGGUGAGCAAAUCUCAAAAGCCGUUCUCAGUUCGGAUUGAAGUCUGCAACUCGACUUCAUGAAGUCGGAAUCGCUAGUAAUCGCGGAUCAGCAUGCCGCGGUGAAUACGUUCCCGGGCCUU